rnacentral:rRNA from 1 species
AUGCAGACGGAGCCAAUAAUUGCCCACCCACGCCAGGAGGAGACAGGCGACAGCCAGACAAGGGCGGGCACAGAUGCCUUGCAGGGGCCACCUAGCGGGGAAUCUAAGACGCGGGGCCACUUCAAGGAGGCUGGGGAGGAGACCGAUGAGCAGAGACACGACAAGGAGACAGGGGUGGAGAUCGAGGAGCGUGAGGCGAAUCCCGAGCCAAUGAUUGUUGAUGGCAACCAUGCAACUCCUGUUCACGUAGACGUGUGGACGUCUGAUGCGCUGCCAUCGUUCUGGCGGGGAAACAUCCAGUUGACACUGGUUUUGCUGGGGAGCCGAUGCAAUGUUCUCGUACGGAGCAGCUGGAUACUGUGA